rnacentral:rRNA from 1 species
AGAGUUUGAUCAUGGCUCAGAACGAACGCUGGCGGCAGGCCUAACACAUGCAAGUCGAACGCCGUAGCAAUACGGAGUGGCAGACGGGUGAGUAACGCGUGGGAACAUACCCCUCGGUUCGGAAUAACUCAGGGAAACUUGAGCUAAUACCGGAUACGUCCGAGGUUUUAAUCGACCUUGGAGAAAGAUUUAUCGCCGGAGGAUUGGCCCGCGUCUGAUUAGCUUGUUGGUGAGGUAACGGCUCACCAAGGCGACGAUCAGUAGCUGGUCUGAGAGGAUGAUCAGCCACAUUGGGACUGAGACACGGCCCAAACUCCUACGGGAGGCAGCAGUGGGGAAUAUUGGACAAUGGGCGAAAGCCUGAUCCAGCCAUGCCGCGUGAGUGAUGAAGGCCUUAGGGUUGUAAAGCUCUUUUGCCCGGGAAGAUAAUGACGGUACCGGGAGAAUAAGCCCCGGCUAACUUCGUGCCAGCAGCCGCGGUAAUACGAAGGGGGCUAGCGUUGUUCGGAAUUACUGGGCGUAAAGCGCACGUAGGCGGAUCCUUAAGUCAGGGGUGAAAUCCCGAGGCUCAACCUCGGAACUGCCUUUGAUACUGGGGAUAUCGAGUCCGGGAGAGGUGAGUGGAACUGCGAGUGUAGAGGUGAAAUUCGUAGAUAUUCGCAAGAACACCGUGGCGAAGGCGGCUCACUGGCCCGGUACUGACGCUGAGGUGCGAAAGCGUGGGGAGCAAACAGGAUUAGAUACCCCUGUAGUCC